UGCAUCAGCCGGGAAUCGAACCCUGGGCACCCGCGUGGCAAGCGAGCAUUCUACCACUGAACCAAAAGC
rnacentral:tRNA from 1 species